ensembl:lncRNA
CAGAGGGGACUUAACUAAUGUUAGCAUAGGAAACUAAGCAUCAAAUGUUUGUUCUGUGUGGAGUAUCGGUAUUUCUCUAAAUCUACAGCUUUGUAAAUUGAUAAUGUGGGGUCCAGGCAGUUUAAAAGCAUGAGCUGUCUCUCCUCACUCCCCUCCUUUCUGUAUUUCUCUGAAGCUGUAAGGAGAUCUCUUAAGUGCAACACUUAAGGCCAUCACUGCUGUUGCUAUUUUGGGGCUGGGGCUGAAAUCGCAAAUGCGGCACGCUGCUGAGAUUGCUGUCAGCCAGCAGUGUGCUCUGCAGUGCUGCAGGGAGGUCAGGCAGCCAAGAGCAGGGUCUGGCCUGGCAGAGGGGGCCAUGUCUGUGGACGCUGUGCUCGGGGAAGCAGAGCUGUUCCCUCUCCUGUGCCCGCAGGUGCAGCAGUCAGCAGCGCCCUGACCCAGCCCUGCUCUCACUGUGCUCAGGAAUGCUGUGUCCCUGGGCUGGAUCUGGGUAUCCCUCUGUGGAAAGGAGGAGCCCCAUGCUGCCUUUGAGAUUACUUUAAAAGGUGUGGAAAGGAAGGGCGAGAGAGAUGGGCAGUUGUCACUUCAACACUGUGUUUUAUAGCAUUUCAGCUGUGGAGGUUUCCUACUCUACCUGUUACUAACAGUGACUUGUCUGCACUGGUGCUGCACUAAGCUCGGUGUGAAGAUGGUCGAAUUGUAGGAACAGGAUUGGUUUUGCUUGUAACAGAAUACGAGUUCUCACAAUAAAAAAUACUGUCUUUCCCCCCACCACCUGCCAAGCCAGGACACAAAGCAAGCAGAAAACCCUUUGUGCAGUGAGGGCUGGGGCACAGAACAUGUGGGAGCAGCAGGAAAGCAGCACGCGUCAUCUACCUGCCCUGCUGACUUGGUGAGUUGGAUGCCACCACAGCUGAAUGGGAUUCUGCAACUAGACAUAUCCUGCCAGGAGUAUGCUGGAGCUUGUCUGCUGCACUGCCCUGCUCUGCCUGUCCCUGCACGAGCUGCAGGUUUAGGCGUGCAGCCUCCCAGCAGCCCUGCUUUCUGCAUAAGGGCUUUGCUGCUCACCCUUUGCUGAGCCCUCCCCCAGGAGGACAGCACGCUGCUCCCUGCAUGAGGCUCACUGCAUUACUGUAGCUAAUCCUGAGGCAGGGUCAUUACUGUACAUGGUUUUUGUUUGGUUGUUUGUUUGUUCGUUUGUUUUCCAGUUGAGCAAUUACAAAUGCAACUCCCAGGGCACUUCCUUCAAGGUGCCACAUUGGAAAUUAGAGGGGAAUAAGGAUGCUUAUUCUUAAAGUUCCUCCUAGAAAUCUUCUUUCUUUUUUGAAACUCCUGGUGGGGGAGGAACAGUUGUUCUUUCUCUUGAAUGACAAAUACCCAUUUGUAUAAUAUCAGUGUUAAAAAUGUUGAGAUUUUCACAAAAAAAAAAUAUUUUAAAAAAAGUAUAAUAGUGUCAUUAAUAUAAAAUAUAAUAGCAGUAUUUAAUCCUUUCAGAUCUGUAAAGAAUAAGGAAAAACAGAAGGUAAAUAUUCUUACAGAGAGUAGCUGAGCUUUAAGGUUCACUUGGUUUAAAGUCCUCAUUUUGUUUGCAAAUGCAUUGUUAAUGUUUAGAGGUUAUACUAAUGUUAUUUAUUAAUUGUUUCCAUUCUUGUAUGCUGCCCACUAAGAGCUUCUUUGGGAUUUCAUUCACCUGUGUCAGUAAAAAGAAAAAAAAGAAAACGAAACAAAGUUUUAUUUUUAAAUAAAAUUUCCUUUGUUGUAG